ACUUACUGAGAUGUGCUGCUCACAGAGUAUUAUAUGUGAUACUUUCAUUACAGGUGAUAUGUCACAGGUGGAACAAGUGUAGGAAGGGUCUUCAAUACUAUAUGUACUGAUACAUGGGGUUAUUCCUCCCCAGAUACAGGACUUGGUGCUUCCCUUUGUUGAACUUCAGGAGAUUCCUGUUUGACCCGGCCAAAAUUCAUCAGCUGGAGAUGUGGAUGUUACGGUAAUAAGUGUCGAAAGCCUUGUUGGAGCGAAGACCAACGGUAUCCUCUGCUCUUCCUUCAUCCAUCCUACCAGUGAUUUCAACAUAGGAGGCUGUCAAGUAAG
rnacentral:lncRNA from 1 species